GACGAACGCUGGCGGCAUGCCUAAUACAUGCAAGUCGAGCGAACAGAUGAAGUGCUUGCACUUCUGACGUUAGCGGCGGACGGGUGAAUAACACGUAAGGAAUCUACCUAUAAGCGGGGGAUAACAUUCGGAAACGGGUGCUAAUACCGCAUAAUAUCUUCCUCCGCAUGGAAGAAGAUUGAAAGACGGCUCUGCUGUCACUUAUAGAUGACCUUGCGGUGCAUUAGUUAGUUGGUGGGGUAACGGCCUACCAAGACGAUGAUGCAUAGCCGACCUGAGAGGGUGAUCGGCCACAUUGGGACUGAGACACGGCCCAAACUCCUACGGGAGGCAGCAGUAGGGAAUCUUCCGCAAUGGGCGAAAGCCUGACGGAGCAAUGCCGCGUGAGUGAAGAAGGCCUUCGGGUCGUAAAACUCUGUUAUAAGAGAAGAACAAAUUGUAGAGUAACUGCUACAGUCUUGACGGUAUCUUAUCAGAAAGCCACGGCUAACUACGUGCCAGCCGCCGCCGUAA
rnacentral:rRNA from 1 species